CACGUAGGGGACGAGCGUUGUCCGGAUUCAUUGGGCGUAAAGGGCUCGUAGGCGGCCAACUAAGUCGGACGUGAAAUCCCCAGGCUCAACUUGGGAACUGCGUCCGAUACUGAUUGGCUUGAAUCCGGGAGAGGGAUGCAGAAUUCCAGGUGUAGCGGUGAAAUGCGUAGAUAUCUGGAGGAAUACCGGUGGCGAAGGCGGCAUCCUGGACCGGCAUUGACGCUGAUGAGCGAAAGCUAGGGGAGCAAACGGG
rnacentral:rRNA from 1 species